UACGGAGGGUGCAAGCGUUAUCCGGAUUUACUGGGUUUAAAGGGUGCGCAGGCGGAUAUGUAAGUCAGUGGUGAAAUCUCUAGGCUUAACCUGGAAAUUGCCGUUGAUACUAUAUAUCUUGAAUGCUGUGGAGGUAAGCGGAAUAUGUCAUGUAGCGGUGAAAUGCGUAGAGAUCAUGAGGAAGACCAGUGGCGAAGGCGGGUCUCUGGACAGUUCCUGACACUGAGACACGAAGGCCAGGGGAGCAAACGGG
rnacentral:rRNA from 1 species